rnacentral:tRNA from 1 species
GAGCCGGUAGCUCAGCUGGUAGAGCAUCGGACUUUUAAUCCGCAGGUCGUGGGUUCGAGCCCCACCCGGCUCA